GUGACAGGUUACAUAACUCAGAAUGAUCUAGAGGCUGUCUUUAAAAGACAAGUUAGUGGUUAAGCAACAUUGUAUUAUACAUGUUUUUCACAUGUAAAAUAUGAUCAGAAAUAGCAUUUCAUUAUACUGAUUAAUCAUUGUGAAUGAUUAGUAUGUGGAGUAUUGUUUUUACGCUCAGUCACAGAAAGUCUGUCGACAUAAAUGAACACAAAAAACAGGAAAUACAUAUAUUAGAGCUGUGUCUUGUGAUUACCAAAGCCCGUCUACGGAAAGCCCCUUCACUCUCUAUUCACCCCCAUUGUACCGAAUUUGGCUGCAGUUCACCUAGGGGGCGAUCGCGGGCGAGUGCAGAAUACAUGGACCCCUAUGGAGCUAGGUGGCUAGCUACAUCAUUCUCCUAGCAUAUCGUCUACAAAAUCCAAAAUACUACUGUGGUUUCCGAGAGGUCGACAGGGAUUUUUCGUCAAAAGUGGAAUAAUCUGGGGGUCAUAGCCUUUUGUUUUCUUACAGGUUGGGCAGUUGCGACCCAGGUUCUGCUAGCAUCUGGCUAAUGAAAGCCGAUUGGUCAAUGAAGAACUCACGACUGGUUACGACCGAAGAAUACGCUUUGUGGUACCUGUCCACAGAACAUCAACAACGCUCUUAAGGUGCCAACCGCCGUUAAAAGAGAAGAAGAAGAAAGCUCUUAAGGAGGACUCUGAAAGGACAUUACAAUCGAACUUUUUUAUUUGAUUAUGGUCAACUUUGGAUGUACUGAUCCUACCACACACAUACAUUGUAUUGUAAAAAUAAAUUUGAAAGUUAACUGAU